rnacentral:rRNA from 1 species
AAUGAACGCUGGCGGCAGGCCUAACACAUGCAAGUCGAACGGGUCCUUCGGGACUAGUGGCGGACGGGUGAGUAACGCGUGGGAACGUGCCCCUUGGUACGGAAUAGCCCCGGGAAACUGGGAGUAAUACCGUAUGUGGUCGAGAGACGAAAGAUUUAUCGCCAAGGGAUCGGCCCGCGUUGGAUUAGGGAGUUGGUGGGGUAAUGGCCUACCAAGCCGACGAUCCAUAGCUGGUUUGAGAGGAUGAUCAGCCACACUGGGACUGAGACACGGCCCAGACUCCUACGGGAGGCAGCAGUGGGGAAUCUUAGACAAUGGGGGAAACCCUGAUCUAGCCAUGCCGCGUGAUCGAUGAAGGCCUUAGGGUUGUAAAGAUCUUUCAGGUGGGAAGAUAAUGACUGUACCACCAGAAGAAGCCCCGGCUAACUCCGUGCCAGCCGCCGCGGUAAAAC